AUGUGUUUUGGUGAGUUUGUUUGUGUCAAAGUCAGAGAGCCGUGUCUCUCUACAGUGAGAGGUUUUUGUCAAUUCAAUGACUUUGUAUCACUGUGGUGGACUUUUGGUGGAGGAACCAGACUGAAUGUUAACUCCGGUGAUGUCCGUCCCACCCUGACGGUGCUGCCCCCCUCCAGUGAGGAGCUGCUGCAGGGGAAGGCCACGCUCAUGUGCCUGGCCAACAAGGGCUUCCCCUCAGACUGGAGUCUGGCCUGGAAGGUGGACGGCAGCAGCAGCAGCAGCUGGGAGGAGAGCAGGAGCCCCGGGGUGCUGGGGAAGGACGGCAAAUACAGCUGGAGCAGCACCCUGAGGCUCCCUAAAGACCAGUGGGAGAAGGUGGGCUCUGUGACCUGUGAGGCCACCCAGGGCUCCCAGACUCCACUCUCAGAGACACUGAGGAGAGACCAGUGUUCCCAGUCCUGACCUGACUCACUGGGACUCUGCUACUGGUUUCACUCUGAUACUGAUCUCAGUCUGCUCUCUGCUACUCUCUCUCUCUCUCUCUCUCUCUCUCUCUCUCUCUCUCUCUCUCUCUCUCUCUCUCUCUCUCUCUCUCUCUACAGUUUCAUCACAAUUUGAAAGUCCAUCUUGUGUUGCUUGCAGUAAUGCUGAUAUUCUCUGUAUGUUAAAACAAUAAAGACAAAUGUAUCAACUUAA